AAUAGAUACCCGAGGUAGUCCACGCCGUAAACGAUGGGCACUAGGUCCUUGGGGAGCGACCCCUUGAGGGCCGGCGCAAACGCAUUAAGUGCCCCGCCUGGGGAGUACGGCCGCAAGGCUGAAACUCAAAGGAAUUGACGGGGGCCCGCACAAGCGGUGGAGCAUGUGGUUUAAUUCGACGCAACGCGAAGAACCUUACCUGGGCUUGACAUGGCCGGGAAUUUCCGGGGAAACCUGGAAAGCUCUUCGGAGCUCGGUCACAGGUGCUGCAUGGCUGUCGUCAGCUCGUGUCGUGAGAUGUUGGGUUAAGUCCCGCAACGAGCGCAACCCUUGUCACUAGUUACCAGCGGGUAAAGCCGGGAACUCUAGUGAGACUGCCGGUGCCAAACCGGAGGAAGGUGGGGACACGGUCAAGUCAUCAUGGUCCUUACGUCCAGGGCUACACACGUGCUACAAUGGAUGGGACAAUGGGUCGCCAAAGCGCAAGCUGGAGCCAAGUCCCAUAAAUCCAUCCUCAGUUCGGAUUGUCGUCUGCAACUCGACGGC
rnacentral:rRNA from 1 species